AUGUAGAGCAAUGGAUAGCGCGUUGGACUACUCCUCCAAAGGUCGCACGUUCGAACCCUGCCUGGAAUG